AUUUUUAAGCUGUAAAAGAAAGAAACGGAAUAUUGAAGGGGAUUGACUUUGACUGAUUCAGUAUACAGAACAUAAAGCUUCCUUCCUAGCUAAGGCCAUUCUCUCUACUCCUCUGAAAGCCGAUCAAAGAAUUGGUAUCACCAUUCCUUUGAUCCACAGCGGAUGGCAGAAGCUGAUUCCAAACCUAUCAGAAUCUUAGUCGUCGUGAUGAUGGACGGUGAUUCACGCAGCUUCAUUUCAGCAAAUUCUAAUGAUACCAUAAAAUCUGUCCAUUACCAAAUUCGAGAGGUUUUCGGAAUUCCGCUUACCCUACAGAAAAUAUAUUACUUUGGGAAGAGGCUAGAGUGGUGCCAGACACUUAAGGAGUGCUCAAUUGAAGACUAUGCUUGUCUCCAGGUAGUGCUCCGAAAGGAUGGUGUAACUCGCCAGAAUUCUUCUGAGGCUUUAAAUUUGGUUUCACAGAUACAUGCUAUGUGCCAGAGGAAAUCGGUCGCCUUUGAUUAUGGAUGCAUAAGCAACAAAAUAAGAGACCUUUUCUCCAUUUUGAGGCAGCAGACGACGUUUCUUCUAGCAACUCUCCCUUCGUCUUUUGUUACGCUUUAUCUAAAUAUCGAAGAGAUUGGUGAUGCGGUAAUCAGAUUUUUCUUGGAUUCAUUAUUGAAGAUGAUGUUAGCAAAAGGUUGGCUUGAUAAAUGUGCAUCUAUACUUACACUAUUAUGCGUCUAUCUUCGGUCGAAUAAUGGUGUUGGUACCCACCUGUAUCUCUUAUGCCGCACUCAUCUAACAGAGUUGUUUGAAAAAGGUAAUUAUAAAAUCAAUUUCGAGUAUCUUGAAAACCCAAUAGCAAAUAUUUCUUUCAUUUUUAGAGAUUUGGCAAAAAGCUUGUGUAGAGAUUUGGAUCGCAGGGCCACUCCAUCCUCAGGCGUCAUUGAUGUUCGUGACUUUAAGG
rnacentral:misc_RNA from 1 species